UAAUGAGUUAUUUGUUUUCACAAUAUUGAGAUAUUCUCUCAAUCAAGUUUAUUUUGGUACACUUCUUGCAAUGUGAAUUAUUUUCGAUUCAUUUUCUCUAGAGUUUUAAAUUCUUUUGUUUUUCAAUAUUUCAUCUGUAUUGUUAUUAUUUUCUAGUUGAUUAUUUUGGGUUCUUGCUUCUGAUAUUUUAUUUGGUUGUUGUUGGUUUCAAACUUGGAGUUUGGCGCGCUUAUUUUAAUGUGAUACACUACUAUUAUAGAGUUCGUUAGGUUUUUAGUCGACUUGUUUGCUAAUUCCUCUUUUGCAUCAAAUAUUAUUCUUCGUUUGAGCAUGUACAUAUCGUGUUUUGCUUUUAAUAUAUUUAUUUUGCAGCGUGGUUGAGUUCUGAUGUGAUUUUUCUUUUUAAUGUGUUUCAAUUUGGACAGCACGCUUCGUUUUUAACAUGUAAUCUGGUAGUACAGAAGUUUACAUGAUUCUGUUGAAAUUCUGACAGCUUUGUGGGGCUCUCUGUAAUUAUGACCUUCUGAUCAGCAACUUGUGCAAGUACCUAGAAGUCUCAAGCACACUGCACCUUGUUAAUUUUGAUGUGCUGCAGUUGGAGAUGAGUGCCUCUGCUUUGUACUACUUGUGUCAUGUGAAAUAAAUUGGUCUUUAUUUUUAACUUAUGUGUUUGUUCCCAAAUAAUUGGUCUUUGAUCAUGUACAGGUUGGACAUUAAGUUUGUGUUUCUUCUAGUGUUGAAGUUGGUGCCAAUGUUUUUGUGUUUCUUCUAGUGCUGAAGUUGGUGCCGAAGUUAUACACGGUGCCAUUGGUGCCGAGCGGAGCGUUUUUUCCUAUGAUGCAAUGGAAUAUUUAUGAGGUCCAGGAGUUACCUUCUGUUUUUAUAGCUUUUCUUGCAUGGAGAUUAUAGCCAAGGUAACUGUUCAUAAGAGCUAGGGGUGAUGAAGAAAAUUUCAUAGACAACUGCAGCAAUAGCCGAACCAAUCAACGGGCCGACACAAUAGACCCAAUGAUUAGUCCAUGUCCAGCUAACAACAGCAGGCCCAAAAGACACUGCCGGGUUCAUGGAAGCACCAUCAAAGGCCCCACCUGCCAAGAUGUUGGCUCCUACGAUGAAACCAAUUGCAAUUGGAGCAAUUGUUCCUAGGCUACCAUUUUUUGCACUUCCAAUUCUCGUUUGAUCAUUUGCACUUUUUGAUAUAAUUUG